GACAGAGGUGCCAAGCGUUAGGCGGAAUCACUGGGCUUAAAGCGCGUGUAGGUGGCGGCCUAAGUACCUUGUGAAAUCCUGCGGCUCAACCGCAGAACUGCUUGGUAUACUGGGUCGCUUGAGCCAUCCAGGGGCAACUGGAACAAGCGGUGGAGCGGUGAAAUGCGUAGAUAUCGCUUGGAACGCCGAAGGUGAAAACAGGUUGCUGGGGAUGCGCCGACGCUGAGACACGAAAGCCAGGGGAGCAAACGGG
rnacentral:rRNA from 1 species